rnacentral:rRNA from 1 species
UACGUAGGAUGCGAGCGUUGUCCGGAAUUAUUGGGCGUAAAGCGAACGUAGGCGGUUAAUUAAGUUUGGUCUUAAAGACCGAGGCUCAACCUCGGGAGUGGAUCGAAAACUGGUUGACUGGAGGAUGUCAGAGGAAAGUGGAAUUCCGAGUGUAGCGGUGAAAUGCGUAGAUAUUCGGAGGAACACCAGUGGCGAAAGCGACUUUCUGGGACAUUCCUGACGCUGAGGUUCGAAAGCUCGGGGAGCAAACAGG